AGUUGGGAUGGAUUGAACUUUUAUCUUGAGGAAACGCCAUAAUUUCAGGGCUGCUUUCGCCGGGUUUGAUGCAGAAAUCGUCGCCAACUUCACAGGAAGACAAAUAGCACCAGUGGCCACAGAUUGCAACUUGGAUUUAAACAAGGUUCGAUGUGCCGUCAACAAUGCUAAUAGAAUCCUCUAGGUUAGAUUGUCGAUUGGACCUGAUUUUAUUUAAAUGAUCUUGAUAAUCCAUUUUA